AUUCUUUUGUGAGUAAGCUGGAAAGAAACAAGGGGAUUACUUUUCUGUUUUUAUAAAAUGAUCCCGAUGUCAUAUGGUUUUAAAACAUAACUAAAUUUCUGGAGCAGAGAUGGACUUUUGGGGGUGUCUCGGCCCUCUUUUUUUUUUCCCCAAACUUUAGAAAUCUGACACAGUUAAAUUCAUUUUUAGAAGAGAAUGCACGUGUUCUUCAAUGUUGACGCUGAAAAACAAUGAGAUUCUCAUUUUAUUGGUAGUUUGGAGUAUUGGGAAAGGGUCGUUGUGGUGCAUAGACCCAGAGUAUAGACAAAAUCUAAUUCAGGCUUUGAAAAAGACACCUUAUCACCCACACCCACACGUGUUCAAUACACCUCCCACCUGUCCUCAGGCAUAUCAAAGGAGGGAGCACAAAGUGAUCUUCUGAAAUAGCAUUAAUGAAGUUCUUCUGCAUCUCAGUUGAGAAGCAUUCCAUCACAGGCCCUAGACAAUCAGUCUUCAGCAAGAGACAGGGAGGAACAGCUGGGCUCUCUGAGAAGACUGCUGUAUGUCUGCCUUUGCUAGGCGAUUAGCGUGAUGGUACCCAUAGCAACUGGAGCGUCUCCAUAGUAACGCGUAGCCGAGACAGGUG
rnacentral:lncRNA from 1 species